UGUUUUCUGUUUUGAUAACAUUUCCAUGACAGUUCUGCUUCUGAGAAUUCAUGACUGAAAAGCCUGAUAUAUUGAUUUGAGCCAUUG
rnacentral:sRNA from 1 species